rnacentral:rRNA from 1 species
GGAAUGCGAAUGGCUCAUUAAAUCAGUUAUCGUUUAUUUGAUAGUACCUUACUACAUGGAUACCUGUGGUAAUUCUAGAGCUAAUACAGGCUAAAAACCUCGACUUCGGAAGGGGUGUAUUUAUAAGAUAAAAAACCAAUGCCCUUCGGGGCUCUCUGGUGAUUCAUAAUAACUUCUCGAAUCGCAUGGCCUUGCGCCGGCGAUGGUUCAUUCAAAUUUCUGCCCUAUCAACUUUCGAUGGUAGGAUAGUGGCCUACCAUGGUGGCAACGGGUAACGGGGAAUUAGGGUUCGAUUCCGGAGAGGGAGCCUGAGAAACGGCUACCACAUCCAAGGAAGGCAGCAGGCGCGCAAAUUACCCAAUCCCGAUCCGGGGAGGUAGUGACAAUAAAUACUGAUACAGGGCUCUUUUGGGUCUUGUAAUUGGAAUGAGAACAAUUUAAACCCCUUAACGAGGAACAAUUGGAGGGCAAGUCUGGUGCCAGCAGCCGCGGUAAUUCCAGCUCCAAUAGCGUAUAUUAAAGUUGUUGCAGUUAAAAAGCUCGUAGUUGAACCUUGGGCCUGGCUGGCCGGUCCGCCUCACGGCGUGCACUGGUCCGGCUGGGCCUUUCCUUCUGGGGAACCCCAUGGCCUUCACUGGCCGUGGGCGGAACCAGGACUUUUACUGUGAAAAAAUUAGAGUGUUCAAAGCAGGCCUUUGCUCGGAUACAUUAGCAUGGAAUAAUAGAAUAGGACGUGUGGUUCUAUUUUGUUGGUUUCUAGGACCGCCGUAAUGAUUAAUAGGGAUAGUCGGGGGCGUCAGUAUUCGGCUGUCAGAGGCGAACAUCCUUGGAUUCGCUGACCACUAACUACUGCG